rnacentral:rRNA from 1 species
UACGGGGGGGGCAAGCGUUGUUCGGAAUUACUGGGCGUAAAGGGCUCGUAGGUGGCCAACUAAGUCGGACGUGAAAUCCCUCAGCUUAACUGGGGAACUGCGUCCGAUACUGGAUGGCUUGAGUUUGGGAGGAGGGAUGCGGAAUUCCAGGUGUAGCGGUGAAAUGCGUAGAUAUCUGGAGGAACACCCGUGGCGAAGGCGGUUCUCUGGGACGGUACUGACGCUGAGACGCGAAAGCGUGGGGAGCGAACAGG